rnacentral:rRNA from 1 species
GUGACUGCGUACCUUUUGUAUAAUGGGUCAGCGACUUAUAUUUUGUAGCGAGGUUAACCGAUUAGGGUAGCCGUAGGGAAACCGAGUCUUAACUGGGCGAAUAGUUGCAAGGUAUAGACCCGAAACCCGGUGAUCUAGCCAUGGGCAGGUUGAAGGUUGAGUAACAUCAACUGGAGGACCGAACCCACUAACGUUGAAAAGUUAGGGGAUGACCUGUGGUUAGGAGUGAAAGGCUAAUCAAACCGGGAGAUAGCUGGUUCUCCCCGAAAUCUAUUUAGGUAGAGCCUCGGACGAAUACUUACGGGGGUAGAGCACUGUUAAGGCUAGGGGGUCAUCCCGACUUACCAACCCUUUGCAAACUCCGAAUACCGUAAAGUACUAUCCGGGAGACACACGGCGGGUGCUAACGUCCGUCGUGAAGAGGGAAACAACCCAGACCGCCAGCUAAGGUCCCAAAGUCAUAGUUAAGUGGGAAACGAUGUGGAAAGGCCCAGACAGCCAGGAGGUUGGCUUAGAAGCAGCCAUCCUUUAAAGAAAGCGUAAUAGCUCACUGGUCGAGUCGGUCUGCGCGGAAGAUGUAACGGGGCUAAACUAUGCACCGAAGCUGCGGAUUCAAA